UUGGCCUGAAUAAACAGGUCACGCACAAAUCUCGGCCAGCGCUAUGUGCACAACUCCAAUAUGCACUUAUCCAGAGGACUAUUUUUGCAUGAAGAAAUCAAACUUGUGAAUAAUGCUACACCGAAUCCAUUAUAUUUCUUCUAGAGGCAUAUCCUGUUUCAGGCGACAUUUCCACAAGCAGCCAGAAUGAAAUUCUUUGUGGUUGGGGUAUUUCUACUUCCUGAUGUCGACUCCAAGGAAACCAACAAGGACAUCUCUGGCACACGUCGCUGCAUCUGCUCUGUGUCGCGGGUGCCUGAAAUGGUUUGCUGAAAUGCCAUAGGUGCAUUAUUAGGCCAAAAGGGAGGCGAUUCCAUUCAAAAACACCAUCGGGUGUAAUGAAGGCCGACUUGUGAUUUGUAUCUGGAUGGAGUGGUACAUGCCAAAAGCCACUAGCACAAUCAAGGACACUAAAAGUUUUGGCAUGGCUAUCGCCUAUAUAUGGCAUCAACAACAUCUUCAAAACGUGGUACAGGGGAAACUAUAGGCAUGGUAACCGCAUUGAGGUCUAAUGGGUCUGGCGUCACCUGCUUCUAUUUUGUGAUGAGCAGUAAAGACACCCAUGUCAGCUGGCAGCACGCAUGGAUUAACAUUCUACACUGCACUGCAUAUUUGUUAAAUGAACAAACAAAUGCAAACAUUUGUGUAUGGUGAUCUUCUUCAACCAAUUGAGGAAUCUCUUCCAGGCACUGACAUCUUGUCUACCUCGGAGAAUACUAUGUACAGUUCAACAUCGGGUAGCUUACUUAGUGAGUGAGUGACGUUAGUUUUUAAAGGGGAGGGGGGAUUUUGUAUUGAGACCUGUUAUUUAUUAAUUAAAAGUAUGACACCCUGACCAGGUUGUCAGAAGCCCUUUGGACAGAGCAGGACUCCACGGCUUCCUUGAUGAAGACAUUGCAAGUUGUCAGAAGCCCCCUGGACAGAGCAGGACUCCACGGCUGCCUUGAUGAAGACAUUGCAAGUUGUCAGAAGACCCCUGGACAGAGCAGGACUUCACGUCAGCAUUCAUGAAGACAUUGAAGGUUGUCGGAUGACACCUUGACAGAACGGGAUUUCACGUCAGCAUUCAUGUAGAGAUUGCAGGUUGUCAGAAAACCUUUGGACAAAACAAACCCCCAAACAAUCACAAACUCAUUCACUCAUUCAUCACCAAUUUAACUUGUUGCCCCAGUGUAAAGUAUGUGUGAAUUGCGACAAAGAUGUAAGUUUCCCUUAUGGGUAAAUGGUUAUCAGCAGACCGCUGCCUACACGUCUUGGCAUAUAUGGAGUGGAAGUGAGAACCCAGUUACUGGUGUUGGACAGGGAGAUAAGCCACCUUGUAGAUAGCCCAGUUUAGUUUGGGUACAUCCUGUGCAAACAGAUUGGAGGUUGAGAUAACACUGAUAGGCCCCAGUAGGUGGACAAUGACUUUCUGUGUUAUCGUCAUAAAGACCAACAACUAUAUAAAUAUGUUUUGAUCGUACAUUUAAGAAGAACUGUAAAUUUAUGACAAAUUGGUUUCAUCUUUGUAAAUAAUUAAUAUGCAAAACGUCUUUCGGAAUAUGUAACAGAUAAUUAAUGUUUCUUUGAAAUACAUGCACGUGGAUCUAUUGAACCACAGUAGAGCAAUACCAUUGAUCAGUUGGAAGAACAUGAAGGCAUGAGACAUGAAAUUCUUUAAAUUGAAUUCCAAAAUAGCCCCUUGUUUUCAAUCAGCUACGAUCCGUCUAACCUCUAUCCAUCUAUUUCACAACGUGACUCCAAACUUCAAAUCGGCAAAACAAUUAACAGACAUGUUAUGUGCCCAGUUUAGUCUCCAGUGUGGUCAUUCCGUCCACGAGCAAACACUGAAAGAAUUGACACCACCUAUGUGCAAACAUAACUAGUUUAGGGUGAAUUUGCUUUGAAUAAACAUCAUUUUAAAAGAAUAUUAAAGUCCUACAAAUCAAUUUAUGGUUAUGUUUCUACUUUAACAACCGCAUCACCGUGUACAGGCCAGACUUGGAGGAAUUGCACGAGGAAAAGUUGAAAGGCAGCCAUACUAGAAGAUGUUUAUCCCCCUUGGGGCACUGCACAUAUUAUACUAGUAUGUGAUGAACGUGUUUAACGAAAACAUGCCGCUAUCUUCGCAAUGAGUUCAAUGAGACAUGUUAAAUUCGAGCAGUAAUGAGUAUUGAAGAUACCCUGCAAAGACCAGCCAGUAAUCUACCUGUAUUUAAAUUGUGAAGUGGACCCGAAACCUGACGAUGAAAUUGUCACAGUGGGACAAAGAUAUAUUCAAGAAAGGACAAGAAAGUCCAUGAUAUGGGUUUGCAAUGUUUUCGAAACCUGACAAAUUGCAAGAAAUGACAAAAUCUCAAAAGGAGAUACUGUAUGUCGAACAUAUAACCAACAAGCUGAAUGAUGUAAACGACGAGGAAUUGAACGAUAGUCUGCGGAGAUUUGUGUGUGCAGCACCCACAGAUGAGGUUAUCACCAAAAACACCUACAGCCCAGUACCCCUACACUUGGUUAAAACAACAAAGGGGUUUCACCUACUUAUAAUGGAACAGUCUCAAAGACUAAUUAAUCCAGAGUGAAGAGUGAAGGAUGAAGCAAGUAAAGACAAGCUGGAUUAACAUUUGGAAAGAUUAACUGAAACUGAGUAAAAGAUUAUAUUAAUUAACUUAAGAUUGGUUUGUUUAAACAUAUUAUAUAUAUAAAGAAACCUGAACUGGUGAAUAAGCAGGUUUGCCUUUUUUUAACACUGUCCCGGGAAAUACAGAAUUGGUUUAAAACCGAGUAAAGGUUGAAGCAUGAG